AACGAACGCUGGCGGCGUGCCUAAUACAUGCAAGUCGAGCGAGAAAGUCUUCGGAUGAGUACAGCGGCGCACGGGUGAGUAACGCGUAGGUAUCUGCCUUUUAGUGGGGAAUAACACAGCGAAAGUUGUGCUAAUACCGCAUGAGAAAGUAAUUUCAAAGAUGGCCUCUACUUGUAAGCUAUCGCUAAAAGAUGAGCCUGCGUGACAUUAGGUAGUUGGUGGGGUAAUGGCCUACCAAGCCUGCGAUGUCUAUCCGGUCUGAGAGGAUGAUCGGACACACUGGAACUGAGACACGGUCCAGACUCCUACGGGAGGCAGCAGUAGGGAAUAUUGCGCAAUGGGGGCAACCCUGACGCAGCAACGCCGCGUGAGUGAGGAAGGUCUUCGGAUUGUAAAACUCUUUUAUUAGAGAAAAACGGCUUUGUGGCUAAUAUCCACGAGGCGUGAUGGUAUCUAAGGAAUAAGCACCGGCUAACUUCGUGCCAGCAGCCGCGGUAA
rnacentral:rRNA from 1 species